AGUCGUGCCAACUGCUCUCGGGACGGCCUUGGACAUAAACCUGAGCAAUGCGUCUCUGGUGUUCAUCUCGGUGACGUUUGCUACUAUGUGUAAAUCAGCCUCCCCGAUAUUCUUGUUGCUCUUUGCUUUUGCAUUUAGAUACUUGCAUGAUUGAAGAAGUCAGUUAUUUGAAGUCUGCACUAGCACAAACUAUUGAGCUGUUACCAGAUAAUUCUCAUGUUGGAUUCAUUACGUUCGCGACAUAUGUGUAGGUAAAAGCCCAUAGUUUUCUUUCUAAUGC